CUAUACCUAUAUAUAACCUACCUACCUACCUACCCAACCCUAUUUUAAUGGGUCGGGAAGUGGAAACAAACAUAUUUUUAUUUUUUGCCUAAGAGUUAUCAAAUUGAAACAUCAUAUGUAUCAUGGAGGGUAUUGUAGUUCACAAUAACAGUUAAAAAAUUAUAAGGUAGAAGACCCAUAAUGAAAUCGGCAAUCUUCGACAAUUACCGCCAUAUCUCGCCAUUUAUCGUAACGAACUUCGUUUGUUUACGUAUAAAGUCGGAAUUCUAAUAAUAGCGGAUAUCCCCGGUCACGUGGUAGUAUUCCCCAAGAAAAUGACGUAAUUUCCGUAGAUAUCUAACAUGGCGUCUUACAGGCGUGAUACGCUCGGUCGAUUCAAAAAAAGUGUAAAAAGAUGCAGAAAACCCAAGUAUUGCGACUUAAUUAUAGAACAUAACUAUAGUGCAGGUAACCAGUAUUACGGGUCAACCAAACCAGCUCUACAAAACAUCAACUCUUCCUAAAUCGGUUGAUAAUGAGGGUUGGAAUCGUUGUCGUUGAGUUUGGCGUGUUACGCUGUUACGGUCAAACCUAAGAUUUUGUAAAAAAUGUAGACUUGGACCAGUAGGCUACCAUUAACUUUUGACAACAUGUUAGGUGAAUUUAAACAGGGUGUGUCUGGAUAUUUGUAUGUGAAAUGUCGAAACACAGAAUGCGGUCAUGUGAAUUGUGUUCCCUAUGGAAAAACACAUAGACUCUAGUAGUAGAUUGAAGACCUGGGAAAGUUGGAAUGCCAUGUUUCGUUGUCAACACAAAAUUAGGACCAGCAAUGAUUGAUAGUGUAGGUGGGCCGGUGAGGGGAGGGUCAUCAAUUUGUUGUCAACACUCAAUAUACCAACAAUUGGAAAUAAAAACAUGAAAAGAAAUGGAGAGACGCGUUGGAAAUAUCAUUGAGACAGUGGCUUCUAUGUCGACAGAAUCUGCUGCGAAAGAUCAAGGAAAUGGAGGAUGUGCAUCAUGAAGAAUCAAUGGUAUCAGAACACAACAUCAUGGAAGGUCUUAUUGACAAGAUCUUGGAGGAUGUACUUUGCCAGAUGCCUCGCCAGCACUAAAGUCUAUUCUUCAGUCAGAUGCUACAGUUACAAAUGACAGUGAAUGGUCAGAUUUAUACAAUUGUGAUGAACAAUCCUCAACAAUACAUCAAACAAAAAUGCCUAUUAAACUUUCUCACAGACAGUCAAAGGUUGAAAACAAAUCAGAAGUGGUCCACAUCUUGAAAAACCUCACAGCAGAUUAAGACUUUCCCCGAAAUUUCCCUGUAAAACCCGCAGUGGUAUGUCCAGUGCAGUAGAUACUGCCUGGCACAAAAGAGGAUUUGACAGUUUAACAUUGUACUGCAUCAAUAAACUAAAUAUGGAGAGUAGCUUAGUCACCAAAGCAGUCAACACCAAAAUACACACAAUGGCCAGGGCACUGAAACUUGGAAGAGUGAAAGAGUAAAGUAGUGCGUUUUUAGCUUACAAAGUGACAUUGCGAGCUUUUGUCUAUCUUUCGUCCGUAAACUUGAUCUUUAAACAGCAUCUCAUAAAUUGCCGAGCCAAUUUCAUGCAAACUUACAAUAUUGUCUAGUCAGUUUUUGUUUUGCUUGCAAUCGUUAUAUGACAUGACUAAAGACAUUUAGUUUUAUUCUUAAGUUAUUAUGUUUAUGUUUGUAUAAGACCCAAAUAUAUUGUUAAGAUUCAUUUUUACACAUUUGAAAGCCAUUAUUGUUCUAGUCAGUUUUUGUUUUGCUUGCAAUCGUUAUAUGACAUGACUAAAGACAUUUAGUUUUAAUCUUUAAUAAUUAUGUCUAUAUUUGUAUAAGACCCAAAAAUAUUGUUAAGAUUCAUUUUUAUAUGCCCGAAAGGGCAUAUUAUGUUAUACCCCCUGGCGUCUGUCCGUCCGUUAGCAAUUUGGUUUCCGGAGCAUAACUUAAGUUCCAUUUGGCCCACAAUGUUCAAACUUCAUAGGGUGAUUGCCCAUAUUGGAUAGAAGACCCCUAUUGAUUUUGGGGUCACAAGGUCAAAGGUCAAGGUCACUAUUACCUUGAUACUGAAAACAGUUUCCGGAGCAUAACUUAAGUUCCAUUCGACCCACAAUGUUCAAACUUCAUAGGAUGAUUGUCCAUAUUAGGUAGAAGACCCCUAUUGAUUUUGGGGUCAAAAGGUCAAAGGUCAAGGUCACUAUGACCUUAAAACUGAAAACAGUUUCCGGAGCCUAACUUAAGUUCCAUUCAACCCACAAUGUUCAAACUUCAUAGGAUGAUUGUCCAUAUUGGGUAAAAGACCCCUAUUGAUUUUUGGGUCACUAGGUCAAAGGUCAAAGUCACUAUUACCUUGAUACUGAAAACAGUUUCCGGAGCAUAACUUAAGUUCCAUUUGGCCCACAAUGUUCAAACUUUAUAGGAUGAUUGUCCAUAUUAGAUAGAAGACCCCUAUUGAUUUUGGGGUCACAAGGUCAAAGGUCAAGGUCACUAUUACCUUGAUACUGAAAACAGUUUCCAGAGCAUAACUUAAGUUCCAUUUGGCCCACAGUGUUCAAACUUCAUAGGAUGAUUGUCCAUAUUGGGUAGAAGACCCCUAUUGAUUUUGGGGUCAAAAGGUCAAGGGUCAUGGUCACUAUAUCCUUAAAACUGAAAACAGUUUCUGGAGCAUAACUUAAAUUCCAUUUGGCCCACAAUAUUCAAACUUCAUAGGAUGAUUGUCCAUAUUAGGCAAAAGACCCCUAUUGAUUUUGGGGUCACUAGGUCAAAGGUCAAGGUCACAAUUACCUUAAAACCAAAAACAGUUUCCGGAGCAUAACUUAAGUUCCAUUUGGCCCACAAUAUUCAAACUUCAUAGGAUGAUUAUCCAUAUUGGAUAGAAGACCCUUAUUGAUUUUGGGGUCACAAGGUCAAAGUCACUUUUACCUUAAUACUGAAAACAGUUUCUAGAGCAUAAUUAAAGUUCCAAUUGGCCCACAAUAUUCAAACUUCUUAGGAUGAUUGUCCUAAUAUAAGGUAGAAGACCCCUAUUGAUUUUGGGGUCACAAGGUCAAAGGUCAAGGUCAUUAUUAAUAACUUAAGUAGAAAUCAACCUACAGCUGUAAAAUUUUAUAGGAUGAACAGCGAAUUCCAUGUCUUACAAAUGCUUCAGCCUUACUAAAAAAAACAGUUUCGGGCAUAUAAUGCUCCGCCUAGCGGUGCUCUUGUUACAAUUUUGAAAGCCAUUAUUGCUCUAGUCUGUUUUUGUUUUGCUUGCAAUCGUUAUAUGACAUGACUAAAGACAUUUAGUUUAAAUCUUUAGUUAUUAUGUCUAUGAGGGGCGUCCGUGGCCGAGUGAUUAAGGUCAUUGACUUCAAACCACUUGCCCCUCACCACUGUGGGUUGGAAUACCGACAGGGACUUUGGAUUCUUUCGUGUGAGGAAGCUAUCCAGCUAGCUUAACUGAACGUCGGUGGUUCUACUCAGAUACCCGUUCGUGCCUGAAAUAAUGCAAGGAAGGGCACCUGAACGUCACGAUAUGACCUAUACUGUGUCGAUGUGACGUAAAAACCCAAAACAAACAAACAAAAAAUUAUUUCUAUGAAAUUAGUUGUUUGUAUAAGACCCAAAUAUAUUGCUGUGAUUAAUUUUAACAAUUUUGAAAGCCCUAAUUGUUCGUGUCAGAUAUUGUUUU